ACUAAGCGUACACGGUGGAUGCCCUGGCAGUCAGAGGCGAUGAAGGACGUGCUAAUCUGCGAUAAGCGUCGGUAAGGUGAUAUGAACCGUUAUAACCGGCGAUUUCCGAAUGGGGAAACCCAGUGUGUUUCGACACACUAUCAUUAACUGAAUCCAUAGGUUAAUGAGGCGAACCGGGGGAACUGAAACAUCUAAGUACCCCGAGGAAAAGAAAUCAACCGAGAUUCCCCCAGUAGCGGCGAGCGAACGGGGAGCAGCCCAGAGCCUGAAUCAGUGUGUGUGUUAGUGGAAGCGUCUGGAAAGGCGCGCGAUACAGGGUGACAGCCCCGUACACAAAAAUGCACAUGCUGUGAGCUCGAUGAGUAGGGCGGGACACGUGGUAUCCUGUCUGAAUAUGGGGGGACCAUCCUCCAAGGCUAAAUACUCCUGACUGACCGAUAGUGAACCAGUACCGUGAGGGAAAGGCGAAAAGAACCCCGGCGAGGGGAGUGAAAAAGAACCUGAAACCGUGUACGUACAAGCAGUGGGAGCACGCUUAGGCGUGUGACUGCGUACCUUUUGUAUAAUGGGUCAGCGACUUAUAUUCUGUAGCAAGGUUAACCGAAUAGGGGAGCCGAAGGGAAACCGAGUCUUAACUGGGCGUUAAGUUGCAGGGUAUAGACCCGAAACCCGGUGAUCUAGCCAUGGGCAGGUUGAAGGUUGGGUAACACUAACUGGAGGACCGAACCGACUAAUGUUGAAAAAUUAGCGGAUGACUUGUGGCUGGGGGUGAAAGGCCAAUCAAACCGGGAGAUAGCUGGUUCUCCCCGAAAGCUAUUUAGGUAGCGCCUCGUGAAUUCAUCUCCGGGGGUAGAGCACUGUUUCGGCAAGGGGGUCAUCCCGACUUACCAACCCGAUGCAAACUGCGAAUACCGGAGAAUGUUAUCACGGGAGACACACGGCGGGUGCUAACGUCCGUCGUGAAGAGGGAAACAACCCAGACCGCCAGCUAAGGUCCCAAAGUCAUGGUUAAGUGGGAAACGAUGUGGGAAGGCCCAGACAGCCAGGAUGUUGGCUUAGAAGCAGCCAUCAUUUAAAGAAAGCGUAAUAGCUCACUGGUCGAGUCGGCCUGCGCGGAAGAUGUAACGGGGCUAAACCAUGCACCGAAGCUGCGGCAGCGACGCUUAUGCGUUGUUGGGUAGGGGAGCGUUCUGUAAGCCUGCGAAGGUGUGCUGUGAGGCAUGCUGGAGGUAUCAGAAGUGCGAAUGCUGACAUAAGUAACGAUAAAGCGGGUGAAAAGCCCGCUCGCCGGAAGACCAAGGGUUCCUGUCCAACGUUAAUCGGGGCAGGGUGAGUCGACCCCUAAGGCGAGGCCGAAAGGCGUAGUCGAUGGGAAACAGGUUAAUAUUCCUGUACUUGGUGUUACUGCGAAGGGGGGACGGAGAAGGCUAUGUUGGCCGGGCGACGGUUGUCCCGGUUUAAGCGUGUAGGCUGGUUUUCCAGGCAAAUCCGGAAAAUCAAGGCUGAGGCGUGAUGACGAGGCACUACGGUGCUGAAGCAACAAAUGCCCUGCUUCCAGGAAAAGCCUCUAAGCAUCAGGUAACAUCAAAUCGUACCCCAAACCGACACAGGUGGUCAGGUAGAGAAUACCAAGGCGCUUGAGAGAACUCGGGUGAAGGAACUAGGCAAAAUGGUGCCGUAACUUCGGGAGAAGGCACGCUGAUAUGUAGGUGAGGUCCCUCGCGGAUGGAGCUGAAAUCAGUCGAAGAUACCAGCUGGCUGCAACUGUUUAUUAAAAACACAGCACUGUGCAAACACGAAAGUGGACGUAUACGGUGUGACGCCUGCCCGGUGCCGGAAGGUUAAUUGAUGGGGUUAGCGCAAGCGAAGCUCUUGAUCGAAGCCCCGGUAAACGGCGGCCGUAACUAUAACGGUCCUAAGGUAGCGAAAUUCCUUGUCGGGUAAGUUCCGACCUGCACGAAUGGCGUAAUGAUGGCCAGGCUGUCUCCACCCGAGACUCAGUGAAAUUGAACUCGCUGUGAAGAUGCAGUGUACCCGCGGCAAGACGGAAAGACCCCGUGAACCUUUACUAUAGCUUGACACUGAACAUUGAGCCUUGAUGUGUAGGAUAGGUGGGAGGCUUUGAAGUGUGGACGCCAGUCUGCAUGGAGCCGACCUUGAAAUACCACCCUUUAAUGUUUGAUGUUCUAACGUUGACCCGUAAUCCGGGUUGCGGACAGUGUCUGGUGGGUAGUUUGACUGGGGCGGUCUCCUCCUAAAGAGUAACGGAGGAGCACGAAGGUUGGCUAAUCCUGGUCGGACAUCAGGAGGUUAGUGCAAUGGCAUAAGCCAGCUUGACUGCGAGCGUGACGGCGCGAGCAGGUGCGAAAGCAGGUCAUAGUGAUCCGGUGGUUCUGAAUGGAAGGGCCAUCGCUCAACGGAUAAAAGGUACUCCGGGGAUAACAGGCUGAUACCGCCCAAGAGUUCAUAUCGACGGCGGUGUUUGGCACCUCGAUGUCGGCUCAUCACAUCCUGGGGCUGAAGUAGGUCCCAAGGGUAUGGCUGUUCGCCAUUUAAAGUGGUACGCGAGCUGGGUUUAGAACGUCGUGAGACAGUUCGGUCCCUAUCUGCCGUGGGCGCUGGAGAACUGAGGGGGGCUGCUCCUAGUACGAGAGGACCGGAGUGGACGCAUCACUGGUGUUCGGGUUGUCAUGCCAAUGGCACUGCCCGGUAGCUAAAUGCGGAAGAGAUAAGUGCUGAAAGCAUCUAAGCACGAAACUUGCCCCGAGAUGAGUUCUCCCUGACUCCUUGAGAGUCCUGAAGGAACGUUGAAGACGACGACGUUGAUAGGCCGGGUGUGUAAGCGCAGCGAUGCGUUGAGCUAACCGGUACUAAUGAACCGUGAGGCUUAACC
rnacentral:rRNA from 3 species